rnacentral:rRNA from 1 species
AGAGUUUGAUCCUGGCUCAGGAUGAACGCUGGCGGUAUGCUUAACACAUGCAAGUCGAACGGAGUGCUUCGGCACUUAGUGGCGGACGGGUGAGUAACGCGUGAGAAUCUGCCUUAAGGAUUGGGACAACAGUGGGAAACCGCUGCUAAUACCAAAUAUGCCUUUUAGUGAAACGGGUAAAACCGCCUUAAGAUGAGCUCGCGUCUGAUUAGCUAGUUGGUGUGGUAAGAGCGCACCAAGGCAACGAUCAGUAGCUGGUCUGAGAGGACGACCAGCCACACUAGGACUGAGACACGGCCCAGACUCCUACGGGAGGCAGCAGUCGGGAAUCUUGCGCAAUGGGCGAAAGCCUGACGCAGCAACACCGUGUGAGCGACGAAGGCCUUCGGGUCGUAAAGCUCUGUUGUUGGGGACGAAGGGUUAGGGGUUAAUAGCCCCGAGCCUGACGGUACCCUUCGAGGAAGCCCCGGCUAACUACGUGCCAGCAGCCGCGGUAAUACGUAGGGGGCGAGCGUUGUCCGGAAUUACUGGGCGUAAAGCGCGCGCAGACGGCAUGGGAUGUGCCUGGUGACAGUCCGCCGCUCAACGGCGGGAGGUCUGGGUAAACACUUGUGCUAGCAGUAGGGAGAGGGGUGUGGAAUACCCGGUGGAGCGGUGAAAUGCGUAGAGAUCGGGUGGAACACCAGUGGCGAAGGCGGCACCCUGGCCCUAUAUGGACGUUGAGGCGCGACAGCGUGGGGAGCAAACGGGAUUAGAUACCCCAGUAGUCC